GGUUCGGUGGUGUAGUUGGUUUAUCACGUCAGUGUAACAUCCGCUCUCCUUAGAGUCGUGUUCACUGAAGGUCGGGAGUUCGAGCCUCCGCUGAAUCA